rnacentral:rRNA from 1 species
AACGAACGCUGGCGGCAGGCCUAAAACAUGCAAGUCGAACGCUGUAGCAAUACAGAGUGGCGCACGGGUGAGUAACACGUGGGAAUGUGCCUUUUGGUACGGAACAACUUUUGGAAACGAAAGCUAAUACCGUAUGGUCCCUUCGGGGUAAAGAUUUAUCGCCAAAAGAGCAGCCCGCGUCUGAUUAGCUAGUUGGUGAGGUAAUGGCUCACCAAGGCGACGAUCAGUAGCUGGUCUGAGAGGACGAUCAGCCACACUGGGACUGAGACACGGCCCAGACUCCUACGGGAGGUAGCAGUUAGGAAUAUUGGACAAUGGGCGCAAGCCUGAUCCAGCCAUGCCGCGUGAGUGAUGAAGGCCUUCGGGUUGUAAAGCUCUUUAGCCGAUGAAUAUAAUGACUGUAGUCGGAAAAUAAGCCCCGGCUAACUUCGUGCCAGCCGCCGCCGUAA